rnacentral:rRNA from 1 species
UUGGAGGGCAAGUCUGGUGCCAGCAGCCGCGGUAAUUCCAGCUCCAAUAGCGUAUAUUAAAGUUGUUGCAGUUAAAAAGCUCGUAGUUGAAUUUCGGGAUCAAAUAAUCGGUCGUGCCUCCGGUACGUACUGGUUUUAUUGGUUCCUCCCUUCUGACGAACCAUGAUGUCAUUAAUUUGAUGUGGUGGAGAAUCAGGACUGUUACCUUGAAAAAAUUAGAGUGUUUAAAGCAGGCUAACGCUUGGAUACAUUAGCAUGGAAUAAUGAAAUAGGACGUUCGACCCUAUUUUGUUGGUUUCUAGGAUCGACGUAAUGAUUAAUAGGGAUAGUUGGGGGCAUUAGUAUUCAAUUGUCAGAGGUGAAAUUCUUGGAUUUAUUGAAGACUAACUACUGCGAAAGCAUUUGCCAAGGAUGUUUUCAUUAAUCAAGAACGAAAGUUAGGGGAUCGAAGACGAUCAGAUACCGUCGUAGUCUUAACCAUAAACUAUGCCGACUAGGGAUCGGAUGAUGUUAAUUUUUUAAUGACUCAUUCGGCGCCUUACGGGAAAC